UACAUAAAUAAAGUUAUACUAUGCUGAUGCAAAGCUGAUGUUGACAAUGUGGUUUUCAUCCUGCAGUUCUGGGGGAUGGCGUGAACAUUUUUACCUGUGGUAUCUGAGGGCUACUGCCUGUUGGGCAGAUCAGAACUGAGACCUGGCAUCAGCUGUUUUCUGCAGGAAGCCAUAUGUGGCAACAAGAAGAGUAAGUUGGAGAUGAUCCUUAUAAUGUGAAUUAAAGAGAAGAUAUACUGCAGCAUCCUCAUUAUUGGAAUUUAUUAGGAGUUUAUUCUUACUGGAGGAGGCAUAAUCCCUGUUAUCUCUGUUGGCAAAGUCAACAUCAGGGAGAGUUCUUUCUGCAGUCAAUCAGGGAUCAAGCAAACUGGUGAGAAGAGUGUAGAUGAACAGAUGUAAGUAUCUGUAGAGUGAAAAGAAGACUGAGAGAAGAAACAUGCAAGGAACAAAGAAGAAAGACAACUGCCACCCAAAAUGGAGCAACUGGAAAACUAUCAAGAGCAUUGUAGAAAAUGGCAAUUACUACAGAAGUAUUUGCUUUCCAUUGGACUAAAGCUUAUGAGGAAUCCUUUAAAAGAAACUCUUCUGCUAUAUCUAAAUGCAGAGAGACUGGGCAUCAGUGGAGAGGGUAAGAUGGAGAUGAAAAAGGAGUGAACGUUACUCCCUUUGCGUUAGACUGGAAUAAUCCUAUACAGUCCCCUUUCUCAGACUCACUAAAUGGACAAAGCUGCAAGGAUACUCUUGGUCAAUCUGACACCCAAAGCAGGGAGUCCCAGCUCACGCCCAAGCGGCUUUUGAAGAUCCCCAAGGAGGAGACUCUACAGAAUCUCUGGACAACCUGUGCCAGUGUUCCACCACCCGCACAGCACAAAAGAGCUUCUUGAUGUUUAGAGGAAACCUCCUGUACCCCAGUUUGUGCCCACUGCCUCUUGUCCUGCUACUGGAAAUCACUGAAAAGAGCC